GACGAACGCUGGCGGCGUGCCUAAUACAUGCGAGUUGAGCGCUGAAGGUUGGUACUUGUACCAACUGGAUGAGCAGCGAACGGGUGAGUAACGCGUGGGGAAUCUGCCUUUGAGCGGGGGACAACAUUUGGAAACGAAUGCUAAUACCGCAUAAAAACUUUAAACACAAGUUUUAAGUUUGAAAGAUGCAAUUGCAUCACUCAAAGAUGAUCCCGCGUUGUAUUAGCUAGUUGGUGAGGUAAAGGCUCACCAAGGCGAUGAUACAUAGCCGACCUGAGAGGGUGAUCGGCCACAUUGGGACUGAGACACGGCCCAAACUCCUACGGGAGGCAGCAGUAGGGAAUCUUCGGCAAUGGACGAAAGUCUGACCGAGCAACGCCGCGUGAGUGAAGAAGGUUUUCGGAUCGUAAAACUCUGUUGGUAGAGAAGAACGUUGGUGAGAGUGGAAAGCUCACCAAGUGACGGUAACUACCCAGAAAGGGACGGCUAACUACGUG
rnacentral:rRNA from 1 species